GAUGAACGCUGGCGGCGUGCUUAACACAUGCAAGUCGAACGGUGAAGCUCCAGCUUGCUGGAGUGGAUCAGUGGCGAACGGGUGAGUAACACGUGGGCAACCUGCCCCUGACUCUGGGAUAACAGCCGGAAACGGCUGCUAAUACCGGAUAUGCACCAUGAACGCAUGUUCUGUGGUGGGAAAGAUUUUUCGGUUGGGGAUGGGCUCGCGGCCUAUCAGCUUGUUGGUGAGGUAAUGGCUCACCAAGGCGUCGACGGGUAGCCGGCCUGAGAGGGUGACCGGCCACACUGGGACUGAGACACGGCCCAGACUCCUACGGGAGGCAGCAGUGGGGAAUAUUGCACAAUGGGCGAAAGCCUGAUGCAGCAACGCCGCGUGAGGGAUGACGGCCUUCGGGUGGUAAACCUCUUUUAGCAGGGAAGAAGCGAGAGUGACGGUACCUGCAGAAAAAGCGCCGGCUAACUACGUG
rnacentral:rRNA from 1 species